rnacentral:rRNA from 1 species
UACUCUAGUGGCGAACGGGUGAGUAACACGUGGGUGAUCUGCCCUGCACUUCGGGAUAAGCCUGGGAAACUGGGUCUAAUACCGGAUAGGAGCCAUUUUUAGUGUGAUGGUUGGAAAGUUUUUUCGGUGUAGGAUGAGCUCGCGGCCUAUCAGCUUGUUGGUGGGGUAAUGGCCUACCAAGGCGGCGACGGGUAGCCGGCCUGAGAGGGUGGACGGCCACAUUGGGACUGAGAUACGGCCCAG